rnacentral:SRP_RNA from 1 species
GGCCUUGAGACAAUGUCGUCCUUGUGAACUGUGUCAGGUCCGGAAGGAAGCAGCACUAAACUUGGUAUGGCAUGUGUCUCAAGUUAAUA